rnacentral:pre_miRNA from 14 species
ACCACUUUCAGCUGAGUGCAGUGCCCUACUUGAGAGGGUGUCAUUCACAUAGACUAGAGCACGACUGUCACCUGUGAGUAGAGUAAUGCACAUUCUGUACAACAUAUCUGGUGGC